GUCUAUGGCCAUACCACCCUUAACGCGCCCAAGCUCGUCUGAUCUUGGAAGCUAAGCAGGGUCGGGCCUGGUUAGUACUUGGAUGGGAGAUUCAGGACAUGGAGU
rnacentral:rRNA from 1 species